UUCCGGUUGAUCCUGCCAGACCUGACUGCUAUCGGAUUGAUACUAAGCCAUGCGAGUCAUUGCAGCAAUGCAAGGCAGACGGCUCAGUAACGCGUAGUCAACCUAACCUAUGGACGGGAAUAACCUCGGGAAACUGAGUAUAAUGCCCGAUAGAACACUAUACCUGGAAUGGUUUGCGUUCCAAAUGAUUUAUCGCCGUAGGAUGGGACUGCGGCCUAUCAGUUUGUUGGUGAGGUAAUGGCCCACCAAGACUAUUACAGGUACGGGCUCUGAGAGGAGUAGCCCGGAGAUGGGUACUGAGACACGGACCCAGGCCCUAUGGGGCGCAGCAGGCGAGAAAACUUUGCAAUGUGCGAAAGCACGACAAGGUUAAUCCGAGUGGUCUCUGCUAAAGGAACCUUUUGUUAGUCCUAGAAACACUAACGAAUAAGGGGUGGGCAAGUUCUGGUGUCAGCCGCCGCGGUAAAACCAGCACCUCAAGUGGUCAGGAUGAUUAUUGGGCCUAAAGCAUCCGUAGCCGGCUCUGUAAGUUUUCGGUUAAAUCUGUACGCUCAACGUACAGGCUGCCGGGAAUACUGCAGAGCUAGGGAGUGGGAGAGGUAGACGGUACUCGGGAGGAAGUGGUAAAAUGCUUUGAUCUCUCGAUGACCACCUGUGGCGAAGGCGGUCUACCAGAACACGUCCGACGGUGAGGGAUGAAAGCUGGGGGAGCAAACCGGAUUAGAUACCCGGGUAGUCCCAGCUGUAAACUAUGCAAACUCAGUGAUGCAUUGGCUUGUGGCCAAUGCAGUAUUGCAGGGAAGCCGUUAAGUUUGCCGCCUGGGAAGUACGUACGCAAGUAUGAAACUUAAAGGAAUUGGCGGGGGAGCACCACAAGGGGUGAAGCCUGCGGUUCAAUUGGAUUCAACGCCGGA
rnacentral:rRNA from 2 species